UUAAGCGACUAAGCGUACACGGUGGAUGCCCUGGCAGUCAGAGGCGAUGAAGGACGUGCUAAUCUGCGAUAAGCGUCGGUGAGGUGAUAUGAACCGUUAUAACCGGCGAUUUCCGAAUGGGGAAACCCAGUGUGUUUCGACACACUAUCAUUAACUGAAUCCAUAGGUUAAUGAGGCGAACCGGGGGAACUGAAACAUCUAAGUACCCCGAGGAAAAGAAAUCAACCGAGAUUCCCCCAGUAGCGGCGAGCGAACGGGGAGGAGCCCAGAGCCUGAAUCAGUGUGUGUGUUAGUGGAAGCGUCUGGAAAGGCGCGCGAUACAGGGUGACAGCCCCGUACACAAAAAUGCACAUAUUGUGAGCUCGAUGAGUAGGGCGGGACACGUGGUAUCCUGUCUGAAUAUGGGGGGACCAUCCUCCAAGGCUAAAUACUCCUGACUGACCGAUAGUGAACCAGUACCGUGAGGGAAAGGCGAAAAGAACCCCGGCGAGGGGAGUGAAAAAGAACCUGAAACCGUGUACGUACAAGCAGUGGGAGCCUCUUAAUGGGGUGACUGCGUACCUUUUGUAUAAUGGGUCAGCGACUUAUAUUCUGUAGCAAGGUUAACCGAAUAGGGGAGCCGAAGGGAAACCGAGUCUUAACUGGGCGUUAAGUUGCAGGGUAUAGACCCGAAACCCGGUGAUCUAGCCAUGGGCAGGUUGAAGGUUGGGUAACACUAACUGGAGGACCGAACCGACUAAUGUUGAAAAAUUAGCGGAUGACUUGUGGCUGGGGGUGAAAGGCCAAUCAAACCGGGAGAUAGCUGGUUCUCCCCGAAAGCUAUUUAGGUAGCGCCUCGUGAAUUCAUCUCCGGGGGUAGAGCACUGUUUCGGCAAGGGGGUCAUCCCGACUUACCAACCCGAUGCAAACUGCGAAUACCGGAGAAUGUUAUCACGGGAGACACACGGCGGGUGCUAACGUCCGUCGUGAAGAGGGAAACAACCCAGACCGCCAGCUAAGGUCCCAAAGUCAUGGUUAAGUGGGAAACGAUGUGGGAAGGCCCAGACAGCCAGGAUGUUGGCUUAGAAGCAGCCAUCAUUUAAAGAAAGCGUAAUAGCUCACUGGUCGAGUCGGCCUGCGCGGAAGAUGUAACGGGGCUAAACCAUGCACCGAAGCUGCGGCAGCGACGCUUAUGCGUUGUUGGGUAGGGGAGCGUUCUGUAAGCCUGUGAAGGUGUGCUGUGAGGCAUGCUGGAGGUAUCAGAAGUGCGAAUGCUGACAUAAGUAACGAUAAAGCGGGUGAAAAGCCCGCUCGCCGGAAGACCAAGGGUUCCUGUCCAACGUUAAUCGGGGCAGGGUGAGUCGACCCCUAAGGCGAGGCCGAAAGGCGUAGUCGAUGGGAAACAGGUUAAUAUUCCUGUACUUGGUGUUACUGCGAAGGGGGGACGGAGAAGGCUAUGUUGGCCGGGCGACGGUUGUCCCGGUUUAAGCGUGUAGGCUGAUUUUCCAGGCAAAUCCGGAAAAUCAAGGCUGAGGCGUGAUGACGAGGCACUACGGUGCUGAAGCAACAAAUGCCCUGCUUCCAGGAAAAGCCUCUAAGCAUCAGGUAACAUCAAAUCGUACCCCAAACCGACACAGGUGGUCAGGUAGAGAAUACCAAGGCGCUUGAGAGAACUCGGGUGAAGGAACUAGGCAAAAUGGUGCCGUAACUUCGGGAGAAGGCACGCUGAUAUGUAGGUGAAGCGACUUGCUCGUGGAGCUGAAAUCAGUCGAAGAUACCAGCUGGCUGCAACUGUUUAUUAAAAACACAGCACUGUGCAAACACGAAAGUGGACGUAUACGGUGUGACGCCUGCCCGGUGCCGGAAGGUUAAUUGAUGGGGUUAGCGGCAACGCGAAGCUCUUGAUCGAAGCCCCGGUAAACGGCGGCCGUAACUAUAACGGUCCUAAGGUAGCGAAAUUCCUUGUCGGGUAAGUUCCGACCUGCACGAAUGGCGUAAUGAUGGCCAGGCUGUCUCCACCCGAGACUCAGUGAAAUUGAACUCGCUGUGAAGAUGCAGUGUACCCGCGGCAAGACGGAAAGACCCCGUGAACCUUUACUAUAGCUUGACACUGAACAUUGAGCCUUGAUGUGUAGGAUAGGUGGGAGGCUUUGAAGUGUGGACGCCAGUCUGCAUGGAGCCGACCUUGAAAUACCACCCUUUAAUGUUUGAUGUUCUAACGUUGGCCCGUAAUCCGGGUUGCGGACAGUGUCUGGUGGGUAGUUUGACUGGGGCGGUCUCCUCCUAAAGAGUAACGGAGGAGCACGAAGGUUGGCUAAUCCUGGUCGGACAUCAGGAGGUUAGUGCAAUGGCAUAAGCCAGCUUGACUGCGAGCGUGACGGCGCGAGCAGGUGCGAAAGCAGGUCAUAGUGAUCCGGUGGUUCUGAAUGGAAGGGCCAUCGCUCAACGGAUAAAAGGUACUCCGGGGAUAACAGGCUGAUACCGCCCAAGAGUUCAUAUCGACGGCGGUGUUUGGCACCUCGAUGUCGGCUCAUCACAUCCUGGGGCUGAAGUAGGUCCCAAGGGUAUGGCUGUUCGCCAUUUAAAGUGGUACGCGAGCUGGGUUUAGAACGUCGUGAGACAGUUCGGUCCCUAUCUGCCGUGGGCGCUGGAGAACUGAGGGGGGCUGCUCCUAGUACGAGAGGACCGGAGUGGACGCAUCACUGGUGUUCGGGUUGUCAUGCCAAUGGCACUGCCCGGUAGCUAAAUGCGGAAGAGAUAAGUGCUGAAAGCAUCUAAGCACGAAACUUGCCCCGAGAUGAGUUCUCCCUGACUCCUUGAGAGUCCUGAAGGAACGUUGAAGACGACGACGUUGAUAGGCCGGGUGUGUAAGCGCAGCGAUGCGUUGAGCUAACCGGUACUAAUGAACCGUGAGGCUUAACCUU
rnacentral:rRNA from 1 species